CUCGAGGCUCUAUCGUUGCUGCCCUGCAAGAGCGGAAAUGAAAAUAUGGAGACGAAGGUCACCAGCACUUCACGAACUCAGAUAAGCGAAAAUGGCAGGCAAAGGAAAAUGCAAAAAAAAAGUAUACGGCACGCGUUUGAGGCUGAGGCGACUACAGCGGCGGCUGUUGAGGCCACGCCAAAUGCAAAACACUGCAGCACUCAAAAAAAGAAGGGAAUACUUAGUUGCACUUUUUAAAACGUACCAUCCUCACUGCCUAUGUGAAUAACACUUGAUUUAUAUACUCUUAAUGCGAUUAUGUUGUUGAAAUAAAAUGUUGAACUUUUGCGAAAAACUGCUUUGACGUCAAGAAAAAUGGAUACAAUCCAGUGUGACCGUAAGGUAGAUUGCAAAUGUAACCUAGUAUUUUGGUAUAUACGCCGUCUCUAAAAUGGUCAUAUCGCGUGAAGCACCACAGUGUUACAGUGUUUUGCAUUAGCGAUAUUGGUAUAUUUUCUAGUAAAUUUCGGAAUAUUUCGGAAUACAGUUUGCGGUCACUUUGAACGUUACAUUUUUUAAGUGUCUUGCACUUGUUGCAGAAGAAUUGCGAUUUUAAAGUGUAGAUCAAACAUGUGAAAUAGAGCACUUGUGAAUAUCAUUACCAUUGUGAGUUUAAGAGCAAAUCUUAACAGCUUGUGUAGAAACAAAAUGUACUGCUGGAUUACGUGACCGGUAGCAUAGAGUCAAAACAGCUGAUCGUUUGUCAUAAUGCAGUUCUGCUGCACAUAUACAUACAUAUAUAUUUGAUAAAACGAAAACGCGGCUCGUUCUAUUGUUUCGUUAUAAUAAUAAAACUAAUAAUUCAGCUGCAAGGUGCAGUGAUCUAGUUAAUUGGAAACUUGUUUUUCAUAAUGGCAACAGGUGGCUGGAAGUGUAACUGUUACUUCAAAGCGUUCAAACACGUGGACUUGGAAAUGCGAAUUUCUAAUGGGAAAUGUCGCGCUGUAACUGGAAUCUACAGAAAACGUAUCAAAUUCCAUGGGUAUCGGUACAGUUAUAAAUAAUUCGAAAGCAACAACAUAUGCACAAGUCAAAUGCAAAGAGAAAAGAGUAUGAGAGAGAAGGAGACGCAGAUAAAGAAGAAGUAAACACAAGUGUAAAUUUACGCUUUGUCAGCGGAGUUUGGAGUUACUUGAAAAUGCAGACGCUGGAGGUAAACAAAUUCGCUGCGGGAUUUUGGAAAGACGAAACGAAUGAAAUGAAUUUAAGAAAAACAAAUCAGCAAAAAAGAGAAAAACAAAAGCCGGCUACAAAAUUUUGUGGCAUACGUGACUAUAGAGCUAGCUGGCAUGGCGUCAACCUCCCGCCAUCGUUAACAACAUGCCGGUUUUUCGCUUUGCACUGUUUGACUGCUCUGUUAGGCUGCAUGUGUGGAAUUGAAAUUGGGGUGAAAGUGCGUGUAAAAACUAAUGGCAAGUGUUGGUCACAUUGUGCACUUGAACUGGUGGUAAAAACCAAGCAGCGAUUUGUAUAUUACUACAAAUAAUAUAUUAUGAAAUUCCAAAAUUGCUAAAUUAGAGGUGAUAGAUAAACGCCAUUGACAUUGAUAACAAUGCGAAUGCGAGCCUCUUCUAGUUGGCGCAUAAUGGAAAAGAGUGGAAUCGUAUAAUCAGCUGAUAGAUAGCCACACGACUCUCACGUAAACACGACACGUUGAACCGCCCGACAUGGCCAAAAAUAUUCAGGCACACACGCACACACACAUUCAUAAUUAUUUAGCAGUAGAAUGUUGUGCGCUUUGCAAUAAUUAAAUGUCAACCGACACAACCGAUUACAUAAGCAAGCAUAAAAAAUAAGCAAGUGUCUGCCAAGUCAAUUGCAUAUUCAACAUUCCUAUUAUCACCUUGCAAUGUGACCAAGGAACGUUGCCAUAGUGGUGGACCACUUUCUAACCAUCUUGCUACUUUUCGCACUAAUUGUAUAAUAUUACAAUACUGAUUUAUAGACUUACCCCAUC